AACGAACGCUAGCGGUGCGUUUCAAGCAUGCAAGUCGAACGGUAUUACGUUUUUAUUUUAUAAAGAAGUAAGAGAGUGGCGAACGGGUGAGUAACACGUAGGUAAUCUGCCUUUCAGUCUGGGAUAGCCAGUGGAAACAUUGGGUAAUACCGGAUACUUCUUAUGGAAGGAAUUGUAUAAGAGAAAAGUACUUUUGUGCUACUGAUAGAGGAGCCUGCGCUUGAUUAGCUUGUUGGUGGGGUAAUGGCCUACCAAGGCGACGAUCAAUAGCCGGCCUGAGAGGGUGUACGGCCACACUGGGACUGAGACACGGCCCAGACUCCUACGGGAGGCAGCAGCUAAGAAUCUUCCGCAAUGGGCGAAAGCCUGACGGAGCGACACCGCGUGGAUGAAGAAGGCCGUGAGGUUGUAAAAUCCUUUUAUUGUUGAGGAAUAAUUAUUAUGCUUAAGUGUAAUAUGAUGACGGUAGGCAAUGAAUAAGCCCCGGCUAAUUACGUG
rnacentral:rRNA from 1 species